GACGAACGCUGGCGGCGUGCUUAACACAUGCAAGUCGAGCGGUAAGGCCCUUUCGGGGGUACGACGAGCGGCGAACGGGUGAGUAACACGUGGGUGACCUGCCCUCAGCUCUGGGAUAAGCCUGGGAAACUGGGUCUAAUACUGGAUAUGACUCCACGGUGCAUGUCGUGGGGUGGAAAGCCUUGUGCGGCUGAGGAUGGGCCCGCGGCCUAUCAGCUUGUUGGUGGGGGAUGGCCUACCAAGGCGACGACGGGUAGCCGGCCUGAGGGGGCGACCGGCCACACUGGGACUGAGACACGGCCCAGACUCCUACGGGAGGCAGCAGUGGGGAAUCUUGCGCAAUGGGCGAAAGCCUGACGCAGCGACGCCGCGUGAGGGAUGACGGCCUGG
rnacentral:rRNA from 1 species